UAGGUCCGUUCUCUCUCUCUCUCCAAGUCGAUGACUUUUCCCUCUCUUGCCUUCCUCUCUCCCUUCUUUCUGUCCACUCCCUCUCUGUCCCUCCGACCCACUACCACGACACUGCACCAUCGCAACGCCUCUCUUUUCCAUCAGCGGCACCACCACCAGGUUUGUCUCUCUCUCUCUCUCUCUCUCUCUCUCUCUCUCUCUCUCUCUCCCUCCGAGUGAAGAUGGUGAUCCCAUCUGUCCCUCUCCCUCAGACUCUAUCUCUUUCUCGCGAUCUUAAAUCGACAUCCAUCCAUAUAUGAAAACCUUAAAUCGACUUCCAUCCAUACAUCAAAACCCUAAAUCGACCUCCAUGUAGACCUCAAAACCCUAAAUCAACUUCCACUGUAACUACUGAUGUUCAAAACCCUAGCCUAUCGAUGACUAAAACUCUCAAUCAACCCUAAAUGCUGUAUCUCAAAUGGGUUUUGUUAAAAUUCACGGGCCUUGUUCUUAUUUUUCUAUAAAUACAGUGAAUUGGGCAUAAGAAUAUGUUUUAUGAGCUGUUUCCUUGGUCUUGGAAGAAUUAAUGAGUUUUGGCUUAUUUUUUGAUUUUUCUGUACAGUAAAUAACCGAGCUUGGUAAUCCUAAAGGUAGAAAAAACACUUGAUUUGGUCUCCCAUAUUUCCAGGUUGUACACAUUUUACCGUGCCCGUUUGCUCAACAUGUUUGGAUUGCCAGGAACUAUAAGAAUUGACAGGUUCUUAGUUUCUCAAGAAUGGUUGGUCAAUUUUUCAUCCAACCACAUCUGGUAUCUCUAUAUAUUGUGCUGCUACACAUGAAGAUUGAAGAAUAUUAUGUUGGGUCGGUUGUUGAUCAAGAAUGAGAAUGAAGUCUUAAUGACAUGGUCCAAAUUGUGUUGUAUGCAGUAGAAGAUGGGGACUCUGAUCCUUUGAUACUUGCCUGAUCUGCUGAUAUAAUGUCAAUGACACUACUGGUCCAAGCACUCUGAAGAACUUUAUGUGCUUGUCUAGGCCUUGGUUUCCUUGAAGACGCAAAUGAUGGAGCUCUCGACGCAAAUGGAGGGAUCUUCUACUGAAUAUCCACGUGCAUAGAUGAGGAUAUCUUUGUAAAAGUUAUGGGUCCUAAGCAACCUGGUCGUGUUCGAACAUUUGGAUUAGGCCCUUCUAUCAAAGAUGUCUUUGCAGGUGGAUAUCCGCGAUCACAAGAGGAAACCCAUAUAUUUCAAGCACAAAUGCAAGAGUAGUUUCAAUUGUACCGGGUCCAAUUUGAGACAAAAAUGAAAAGAGAUGAUGGAGACGCAAAUUGAGGUUAUGCGUUCGUAAAUGGAUGCUACUAUUCAAGCACAAGCCGCUACCAUUCAAGCUUAGCAAAUAAGGAUGGAGCAUUUGGAGUCUCAAUUGGUGACCAGGGGAGGGCCUGCUGCACGUGAGGCUGCUUGGGGUCACCACCCAAUGUCACGACCGCAACAAAACUCGCACGAGUUUACCUCCUCCUCAAGUCACCAAAAGGUCGCCCAAUCAAAGACAAAGAACAAGAACAAGAACAAAAGCAAAAGGAGGCAUCAUAUAUAAACUGCCGCUUUUUUUUUUUUUGGUUUUGUUUGUGUCUUGUUUCUUUUGUGUCCUGUUUUUUUUUUUUUUUGGAGUCUUGUGUACUCUAUUAGUUUGGAGUCCUGAGUCUUGUGUCCUGUGUCAGUUUGGCAUCUUGUGUACUAGUGUGGAUGGUGUUUCCUAGUUUUUGGAGGACUAAGGGAUCUAGAUUUUGUUGCUGAUGCAAUUUGUGCUGUUGUAUUAUUAUUCU